AUAUUGGUCAAUGGGCGCAAGCCUGAACCAGCCAUCCCGCGUGAAGGAAGAAGGCGCUAUGCGUUGUAAACUUCUUUUCCAGGGGGAGAAUUUUUCCGUCGUGACGGGAAUUGACGGUACUCUGGGAAUAAGCAUCGGCUAACUCCGUGCCAGCAGCCGCGGUAAUACGGAGGAUGCGAGCGUUAUCCGGAUUUAUUGGGUUUAAAGGGUGCGUAGGCGGAUUGAUAAGUCAGUGGUGAAAGGCUGCAGCUUAACUGUAGACUCGCCGUUAAUAGUGUCAGUCUUGAGUAUGUUCAAGGCAAGCUGAAUGUGUAAUGUAGCUGUGAAAUGCUUAGAUAUUACACAGAACACCGUUUGCGAAGGUAGCUUGCUGGGCCAUCACUGACGCUCAUGCACGAGAGCGUGG
rnacentral:rRNA from 1 species